rfam:Schistosoma mansoni strain Puerto Rico chromosome W, complete genome
AUCCAGUUUACGAGUCUCAAAUAAGACGGAACGCGCGUCUUGAAU